rnacentral:rRNA from 1 species
UACGGGGGGGCGAAGCGUUGUUCGGAAUUACUGGGCGUAAAGGGCUCGUAGGCGGCCAACUAAGUCAGACGUGAAAUCCCCAGGCUUAACCUGGGAACUGCGUCUGAUACUGGAUGGCUUGAAUUCGGGAGAGGGAUGCAGAAUUCCAGGUGUAGCGGUGAAAUGCGUAGAUAUCUGGAGGAAUACCGGUGGCGAAGGCGGCAUCCUGGACCGACAUUGACGCUGAUGAGCGAAAGCUAGGGGAGCAAACAGG